rnacentral:rRNA from 1 species
UUAAAUGGCCGCGGUAUUUUGACCGUGCUAAGGUAGCAUAAUCAUUAGUUUUUUAAUUGAAAGCUGGAAUGAAGGGUUGAAUGAAAAAAUAACUGUCUCUAUUUAAUUAUUAUAAAAAUUUAUUUUUAAGUUCAAAAGCUUAAAUUUUAUUAAAAGACGAGAAGACCCUAUAGAGUUUUAUAAUUUUUAGUAUAAAAGAUUUGGAAUUUAUUUUUUUGUAUUUAAAAAUUAUUUGAUUGGGGUGAUUAAAAAAUUUAAUAAACUUUUUUAUUUAAUUAAUAUUAAUUAAUAAAUAUUUGAUCCAAAAAUUUUGAUUAAAAGAUUAAAUUACCUUAGGGAUAACAGCGUAAUUUUAUUAGAGAGUU